rnacentral:lncRNA from 1 species
ACUAAAAUAUUAAAGCAUUAAGAGUUUGGCUCUGAAUGAUUAACUACAUCACAAAUUCCAAUACAACAGAUUUCAUUUCCAUCAACGAGCCUCUAUAGUAAAGAUUUCCAAGCUCCAUUAUCAUUCAUACAUAUGCGGGACAAGCCCUGGAGAUUCUGAACAUAGUAAAAGAAUGCAGAUCAUGUUUCAGGCCUACUCUCUUCAAACAUAAGAAAG